GGACCCGUAGCUCAACUGGAUAGAGCAGCAGACUUCGGAUCUGCCGGUUGGGGGUUCGACUCCCUCCGGGUUCG
rnacentral:tRNA from 1 species